GUACUAUGCUAUUUUAUAGCUAUAUUUAUAAACUAUAUUUAUAUGUACCGUACUACAAUAUUACAUGUGCUAGUUUUAACUUAAGCGUUUGAUAACAAAUUCAACGAUAAUGCGAUUACAUAGUGACAAUACAGUUUAAAAAUUACUCAAAAAAUUAGUCGAAAAUUCUUGUCUUGGAUCACUUUUGUGUUUUUUUUUUCAGUCAAUCUAAAUUAAUUAAAGGGCAUCGUCCGUUAAAGGGGCAGUGUCACCAAUUUUGACCAAAAAUGUUUUUAUUCAAAGGCUGACCCGCUAAUUUGACAAAUAAACAUUAUAAAUAGGUUCAGUUAUGAUAUACAGGUCAUAUUAAACAACUUUGAACUUCUACAAAACAUCUAAGACGACGUUUUCAUACAAAUUGAUCUAAACUUGAAAAAGUGUGUGCAUGCCAACAAUGAAUCAAGAAUCAAGAUGUCAUUUACAGUCCAUCUCAAUCCUCAAGACCUCAACCAUCCAGACUUCUGUACAUGUUACUGUUUUAUGUUAUUUAUAUUGUUUUAUAUAUUUGUGAUUGUUUUAUGUUGUGCUUACAACCAUUCUUUUAGGUUUUGUGCAAGAUUCCUAAAGAUUUGCGAGGGUCAAAAUCGGCGACGCUUCCGUGAUACUCGGCCCCUUUAAAUUUUCCUGAGAGUACCAGUUGCUUGUGAAAUGUGCACUGAAUGAUAAAUAUUUCAUAAAAAUAGCCAUGAUAAGAAUACACCCUUUCGACAAUUACGUCACAACUACACUGUUUUCAACUUAUGACCAUCUUAAAUGGAAAGGAUUUCAAGUUUUUUUCUCAUGGGCUAUGCAAAGAGAAGCAGAACAUCCUUCUUCAACACAUGCGCGAAAAAAGUUUUGGAUUUGGAUCAGUAAAUAUGGAAAUAAGCAUUAACACGAAAACGAGGCUCCAGGUCAUGACCUGCAGCCUCGUUUUCGUGUUAAAGCUUAUUGCCCCACAUUUAUUGGUCAAAAUAAAUCAUUAUUUUUCAUGCGUGUGUUGAAGAAGGAUGUUCUGCUUCUCUGUGCAUAGCCCAUCAGAAAAAAAACUUGAAAUCCUUUGAAAACAGUGUAGUUGUGACGUAAUUAUCGAAAGGGUGUAUUAAGCCUCAUACUGUACAGACGGCAAUUUUAUUUGUUCGUGUGUACGGGAAAAAAUGGACAAGUUUCCCUGCCAAAGUUAUAUAUAUGCUCACAGCAGGUUUUGGAAAGGAAGAUUUGUUCGUCAGGUAUACGGCCGGCAGAGGAAAACUUGACAAGUGUACAAGAAAUACUACUAAAAUAAAAGGCCGCCUUGACGUUGACGUAAGAUAAAUGUUUACAGUAGCAACAAAACUUGUCAAGGAAAACUUGUUGACUG